GCAGGCCUAACACAUGCAAGUCGAACGGUAGCACAGGAGAGCUUGCUCUCUGGGUGACGAGUGGCGGACGGGUGAGUAAUGCAUGGGGAGCUGCCCAAUCGAGGGGGAUACCAGCUGGAAACGGCUGCUAAUACCGCAUACGCCCUGAGGGGGAAAGGUGGGGACCUUCGGGCCUACCGCGAUUGGAUGCACCCAUGUGGGAUUAGCUAGUUGGUGAGGUAACGGCUCACCAAGGCGACGAUCUCUAGCUGGUCUGAGAGGAUGACCAGCCACACUGGAACUGAGACACGGUCCAGACUCCUACGGGAGGCAGCAGUGGUGGAAUAUUGCACAAAGGGGGAAACCCUGAUGCAGCCAUGCCGCGUGUGUGAAGAAGGCCCUUCGGGUUGUAAAGCACUUUCAGUGGGGAGGAAGGGGUGAUGCCUAAUACGCAUCAUCAUUGACGUUACCCACAGAAGAAGCACCGGCUAACUCUGUGUCAGCAGCCGCGGUAAUACGGAGGGUGCAAGCGUUAAUCGGAAUAACUGGGCGUAAAGCGCACGCAGGCGGUUAGAUAAGUCAGAUGUGAAAUCCCCGGGCUCAACCUGGGAACUGCAUUUGAAACUGUCUGACUAGAGUCUUGUAGAGGGGGGUAGAAUUCCAGGUGUAGUCGGUGAAAUGCGUAGAGAUCUGGAGGAAUACCGGUGGCGAAGACGGCCCCCUGGACAAAGACUGACGCUCAGGUGCGAAAGCGUGGGGAGCAAACAGGAUUAGAUACCCCUGGUAGUCCACGCUGUAAACGAUGUCGAUUUGGAGUUUGUGCCAUUAUGAGCGUGGGUUCCGAAG
rnacentral:rRNA from 1 species